CGCACCUUGCGCUCCUUGGUAUUCCGAGGAGCAUGCCUGUUUGAGUGUCUUGAAGUCAUCAACCCGAACCGUUUUUCUUGAGCGGUCAGGGUUGGAGCUGGGGGACCUUUGCCGCUCGUCUCGGGCGGCUCCCCUCAAAUGCGUCGGUUGGGCCUGUGGGUCGAACUCGGCUGGGCGUUGUACCAUCCUCGCUCUAACGAGAAGGGCCCCUUUCCGUUGCCCCUCCUUGACCUGCCCCUCGUCAGGGUCGGCGGUCAACAAACAUUUGAAAUCUGACCUCAAAUCAGGUAGGACUACCCGCUGAACUUAA
rnacentral:misc_RNA from 1 species